GGGUGCGUAGCUCAGUUGGUUAGAGCGCAUCUCUGAUAAGGAUGAGGUCCCAGGUUCGAAUCCUGGCGCACCCA
rnacentral:tRNA from 1 species